GAUGAACGCUGGCGGCGUGCCUAAUACAUGCAAGUAGAACGCUGAAGGAAGGAGCUUGCUCUUUCCGGAUGAGUUGCGAACGGGUGAGUAACGCGUAGGUAACCUGCCUGGUAGCGGGGGAUAACUAUUGGAAACGAUAGCUAAUACCGCAUAACAGUAGAUGUUGCAUGAUAUCUACUUAAAAGGUGCAAUUGCACCACUACCAGAUGGACCUGCGUUGUAUUAGCUAGUUGGUGAGGUAACGGCUCACCAAGGCGACGAUACAUAGCCGACCUGAGAGGGUGAUCGGCCACACUGGGACUGAGACACGGCCCUGACUCCUACGGGAGGCAGCAGUAGGGAAUCUUCGGCAAUGGACGGAAGUCUGACCGAGCAACGCCGCGGGAGUGAAGAAGGUUUUCGGAUCGUAAAGCUCUGUUGUAAGAGAAGAACGAGUGUGAGAGUGGAAAGUUCACACUGUGACGGUAGCUUACCAGAAAGGGACGGCUAACUACGUG
rnacentral:rRNA from 1 species